CCUACGGGAGGCAGCAGUGAGGAAUAUUGGUCAAUGGACGAGAGUCUGAACCAGCCAAGUAGCGUGAAGGAUGACUGCCCUAUGGGUUGUAAACUUCUUUUAUAUGGGAAUAAAACGUUCCACGUGUGGGAUUUUGUAUGUACCAUAUGAAUAAGGAUCGGCUAACUCCGUGCCAGCAGCCGCGGUAAUACGGAGGAUCCGAGCGUUAUCCGGAUUUAUUGGGUUUAAAGGGAGCGUAGGUGGAUUUUUAAGUCAGUUGUGAAAGUUUGCGGCUCAACCGUAAAAGUGCAGUUGAAACUGGCAGUCUUGAGUACAGUAGAGGUGGGCGGAAUUCGUGGUGUAGCGGUGAAAUGCUUAGAUAUCACGAAGAACUCCGAUUGCGAAGGUAGUUCACUGGACUGCAACUGACACUGAGGCUCGAAAGUGUGGGUAUCAAACAGGAUUAGAUACCCCUGUAGUC
rnacentral:rRNA from 1 species